UGUUACUUUCUCUAAACUCAGGAUUAUUGAAGUUUUGGUCAUACUAUUGGAAGCCCUUACUAGUUAGACCUUCCUAAACUAACCAGAACAUAUCUUUUUAAUAAAAAAUAAUAACCAUAUUCUCAUUUUCAAAGUUUGCAAUUAAAAACUACAGUAAAAGAAUAAACUGAGAAGAAAUUUCUCUUUGGUUAAAAAAAGAAUGUCAUUAAAUUCAUCAGAACAAUAUGAAAUGAAGAUGUUCUUGUUGGGUCCUCCUUUGUGAUGAAAAUCAAGUAGGCUAACUGGCUUAGUUAAGUCCAUAAAUUCUUCAUCGCAUAACAUUUCAACAGUAAUUUCCAAACACAUAAAUUUUGGGGUAUAAGAAAAAAAAUGCCAGGGGCUGGGAAUAUGGCCUAGUGGUAGAGUGCUUGCCU